rnacentral:rRNA from 1 species
AAAGCUUCNACAACGGAUCUCUUGGUUCUCGCAUCGAUGAAGGACGCAGCAAAGCGCAAUAGGUAAUGNGAAUNGCAGACGUGANUCAUUGAAUUUUUGAACGCACAUNGCACUAUCCCUUAGGAUAGUANACCUGUGUGAGCGUCAUU